GGGGGAGUUCCAAAUCAAGAUGAACCGUCAGUAGUUAGAAGGGAAUGUAUAAGUCUGAGAGAUUGAGUCUCACUUCAUAGGAGAAAAAGAGGGAUUUUGAAAUUCAGCGUACAUGCCAGCAAGCAGUUUAGAGGCAGGAAGUCUUUUCUAGUAGUGCAGUCAUGAACUGGUAAACUAGAAGCAUCUGUAAAAAUUUAGAGGGAAUAUCAGCU
rnacentral:lncRNA from 1 species